rnacentral:snRNA from 1 species
CUUCUCUGGUUCCAUUGCAUUUGACCGAGAGAAUCUUUCGCCUUUUACCAAAGAUUUCUGUGCACUGGAGCAAUUAUGAGUAUUUGCCACUUUCUGGAAUCCCCUCUAUAAAAAGAGU